AUUGAUAACUGAAAACCCCAGAGCCUCAAGCUCCCCCAAUGGCCAGAGUCUUCCUUACCUAAGUGCUCGUCAUGCAGAACUGUUUCACUGGGCACCUGGGCCCUAACUGGAAGCAAAGAGAGACUUUUCUUCAGAACCCAGCGAAACACCUUUCUUGGACUUCACAGGCUCCUCCAUGUUUAUUGACUAAGCCAGGCAUCCAAUCAACAUAUUUUGUUAUUUUCCAGAAGAUUUACCACUACCUGUAGAGGUGAACCCCUAAGCUGGAACUGACUGUCGUGUAGCGUCAGUGCCUGUGUCUCCCCAUCUCCGAGCAUCUUCUCUCCCUCCCAGUGCCCCAUCAUCCUCAUACCAAUAGAAGCCCAAGCCUCUUCUGAUGACCCCCAAAGCAGAGCACAGGAGCUGCUCCUAGAGCCCUGGUGCUCCAGACCCAGAGGCCUGGACCUCACUUAUGAGCUGUUUAAAAAACACAGGGUCCUGGAGCCCAGCCCAUACAACCUGCUAAGUUGGAACCUGCAUUCUGAUGAGACUUUAGGUUUGUGAAGCACUGGUCUACACUAUUCUCCUGGACGUCAUUUGAGCUUUGUCUCUUCCAACUUGCCUGUGACCUGGGGCAGGUCAGGACACUUCUCUGGGCCUCAUUUUCUCAUUUGCAGGAGGAGGAAGUAAAGCCCCUCUAGGGGACAGUGUGAUAAAGAGAGGUGGCUGUGGACUCAGGCCACUUGCUGCACCACUGGGUCAAGUGAUUCAACCUCUCUGCCCCUCAGUCUCCUCAUCCACAAAACAGCAAUAGGAAGAAACAGGCUCAAAGAGAACCAAUGCUUUGCCCACAGCCACCGGCACUAAAGCAGAAAAACUGGCCCCAAACCCAGAUUUUCUCAAGUCCAGCACUUUCUGCACUGUGUUGGGCCUCAAUUUUGGAAAUGAGGAAGCUUCAGGACCUGUUUCAGUUUUGUUUUACGAAUGGAUUUGGCAAAGGAAAAAGGCAGUACUGUUAAUCCUGGCUACAGCUACUGGAAAAUGUGCUACAGCCUCCUCAGUGUGAGCUGUGUAUUGAAUUUAGAACCUCAAACAAAGCUUAGUAGAAAGAAGGAAGACAAAAAAAGUUUCCCUUUACAGUCCAUUUUGGUUCCCCAUUUGACUUCAAAGCAAGGAAAGAGAAUGAGGAAAUCACAUUUUUGUUAUUGUUACAGUCACAUUAAUUAUGCGAUGCUUUGUUUGGAAACACCAUUUUCUUUUUACGAAACAGUGCAGCCCUUUGGAACCAGUGAUAAUACAAAGUUCAGCAAAAUUCGACAUGGCACACCAUUAACCUGCACGAUGAUAGAAGGAUAAUUAAGAUGUUGUAUCUUAAUUAUCUGGUAGCAGAAAUGUGAGUCUCCCAGUCUCAAGACUUAAACAGUAAGCAGUGGGCUGUACAAGAUCAGGAGGCAGUCACCCCACCCUGCUCUGUUCCCUCCCCUCUGCCCUCCUUGGAGAAACCCGUAUAGAUUGGGUUGUCCUCAGAACUUAGACAUAUGUGAAAUACAUAGGAUUUUGGAA